AGUGAACGCUGGCGGUAGGCCUAACACAUGCAAGUCGAACGGCAGCACAGUAAGAGCUUGCUCUUACGGGUGGCGAGUGGCGGACGGGUGAGGAAUACAUCGGAAUCUACUUUUUCGUGGGGGAUAACGUAGGGAAACUUACGCUAAUACCGCAUACGACCUACGGGUGAAAGCAGGGGAUCUUCGGACCUUGCGCGAUUGAAUGAGCCGAUGUCGGAUUAGCUAGUUGGCGGGGUAAAGGCCCACCAAGGCGACGAUCCGUAGCUGGUCUGAGAGGAUGAUCAACCACACUGGAACUGAGACACGGUCCAGACUCCUACGGGAGGCAGCAGUGGUGAAUAUUAGACAAUGGGCGCAAGCCUGAUCCAGCCAUACCGCGUAGGUGAAGAAGGCCUUCGGGUUGUAAAGCCCUUUUGUUGGGAAAGAAAAGCAGCAGGUUAAUACCCCGCUGUUCUGACGGUACCCAAAGAAUAAGCACCGGCUAACUUCGUG
rnacentral:rRNA from 1 species